rnacentral:rRNA from 1 species
GAUGAACGCUGGCGGCGUGCCUAAUACAUGCAAGUCGAGCGAACGGACGAGAAGCUUGCUUCUCUGAUGUUAGCGGCGGACGGGUGAGUAACACGUGGAUAACCUACCUAUAAGACUGGGAUAACUUCGGGAAACCGGAGCUAAUACCGGAUAAUAUUUUGAACCGCAUGGUUCAAAAGUGAAAGACGGUCUUGCUGUCACUUAUAGAUGGAUCCGCGCUGCAUUAGCUAGUUGGUAAGGUAACGGCUUACCAAGGCAACGAUGCAUAGCCGACCUGAGAGGGUGAUCGGCCACACUGGAACUGAGACACGGUCCAGACUCCUACGGGAGGCAGCAGUAGGGAAUCUUCCGCAAUGGGCGAAAGCCUGACGGAGCAACGCCGCGUGAGUGAUGAAGGUCUUCGGAUCGUAAAACUCUGUUAUUAGGGAAGAACAUAUGUGUAAGUAACUGUGCACAUCUUGACGGUACCUAAUCAGAAAGCCACGGCUAACUACGUGCCAGCAGCCGCGGUAAUACGUAGGUGGCAAGCGUUAUCCGGAAUUAUUGGGCGUAAAGCGCGCGUAGGCGGUUUUUUAAGUCUGAUGUGAAAGCCCACGGCUCAACCGUGGAGGGUCAUUGGAAACUGGAAAACUUGAGUGCAGAAGAGGGGAGUGGAAUUCCAUGUGUAGCGGUGAAAUGCGCAGAGAUAUGGAGGAACACCAGUGGCGAAGGCGACUUUCUGGUCUGUAACUGACGCUGAUGUGCGAAAGCGUGGGGAUCAAACAGGAUUAGAUACCCUGGUAGUCCACGCCGUAAACGAUGAGUGCUAAGUGUUAGGGGGUUUCCGCCCCUUAGUGCUGCAGCUAACGCAUUAAGCACUCCGCCUGGGGAGUACGACCGCAAGGUUGAAACUCAAAGGAAUUGACGGGGACCCGCACAAGCGGUGGAGCAUGUGGUUUAAUUCGAAGCAACGCGAAGAACCUUACCAAAUCUUGACAUCCUUUGACAACUCUAGAGAUAGAGCCUUCCCCUUCGGGGGACAAAGUGACAGGUGGUGCAUGGUUGUCGUCAGCUCGUGUCGUGAGAUGUUGGGUUAAGUCCCGCAACGAGCGCAACCCUUAAGCUUAGUUGCCAUCAUUAAGUUGGGCACUCUAAGUUGACUGCCGGUGACAAACCGGAGGAAGGUGGGGAUGACGUCAAAUCAUCAUGCCCCUUAUGAUUUGGGCUACACACGUGCUACAAUGGACAAUACAAAGGGCAGCGAAACCGCGAGGUCAAGCAAAUCCCAUAAAGUUGUUCUCAGUUCGGAUUGUAGUCUGCAACUCGACUACAUGAAGCUGGAAUCGCUAGUAAUCGUAGAUCAGCAUGCUACGGUGAAUACGUUCCCGGGUCU